rnacentral:rRNA from 1 species
UUUUAUUUGAGAGUUUGAUCCUGGCUCAGGAUGAACGCUGGCGGCGUGCCUAACACAUGCAAGUUGAGCGAUUUACUUCGGUAAAGAGCGGCGGACGGGUGAGUAACGCGUGGGUAACCUACCCUGUACACACGGAUAACAUACCGAAAGGUAUGCUAAUACGGGAUAAUAUAUUUGAGAGGCAUCUCUUGAAUA